rnacentral:rRNA from 1 species
GAUGAACGCUGGCGGCGUGCUUAACACAUGCAAGUCGAACGGAAAGGCCCUGCUUUUGUUGGGUGCUCGAGUGGCGAACGCGUGAGUAACACGUGAGUAACCUGCCCUUGACUUUGGGAUAACUUCAGGAAACUGGGGCUAAUACCGGAUAUGAUCUCCUGCACCAUGGGGUGGGUUGGAAAAUUUCGGCGGUUGGGUAUGGACUCGAGGCUUAUCAGCUUGUUGGUGGGGUAGUGGCUUACCCAGGCUUUGACGGGUAGCCGGCCUGGGAGGGUGACCGGCUCCAGUGGGCCUGGGGUAGCGCCAGGAGUGCUACGGGAGGAAUGGGCGGAGACCAUAGCACGCUGGGCGGAAGCCGGAAGGAGCAACGUCGCGUGGGGAAUCACGGUUAUUAGGUAGGAAACAGCUUUUGCGUGUGACAAGCGGGAGUGACGGUAAUGGGUAAAGAAGCACCGGCUAACUACGUG